rnacentral:rRNA from 1 species
GAUGAACGCUGGCGGCGUGCCUAAUACAUGCCAGUAGAACGCUGAAGGAAGGAGCUUGCUCUUUCCGGAUGAGUUGCGAACGGGUGAGUAACGCGUAGGUAACCUGCCUGGUAGCGGGGGAUAACUAUUGGAAACGAUAGCUAAUACCGCAUAACAGUAGAUGUUGCAUGAUAUCUACUUAAAAGGUGCAAUUGCACCACUACCAGAUGGACCUGCGUUGUAUUAGCUAGUUGGUGAGGUAACGGCUCACCAAGGCGACGAUACAUAGCCGACCUGAGAGGGUGGUCGGCCACACUGGGACUGAGACACGGCCCAGACUCCUACGGGAGGCAGCAGUAGGGAAUCUUCGGCAAUGGACGGAAGUCUGACCGAGCAACGCCGCGGGAGUGAAGAAGGUUUUCGGAUCGUAAAGCUCUGUUGUAAGAGAAGAACGAGUGUGAGAGUGGAAAGUUCACACUGUGACGGUAUCUUACCAGAAAGGGACGGCUAACUACGUG